ensembl:lncRNA
CUCUAUCGCGGGGCGGAUUUUUCCCCUUUCUGUCAGACUCUGACUUUAAAAGAUGUCUGAGCGCCCAGGCGGCGGUGGCGGUGUGCCAAUGGGUGUGGGGAGGCGGAAGAUACAGUGCUGUGGGGACGUGGCUGUGAGGAGUAUCGCGUGUGGUGCAACUAUCGCAGCAGCUGCCCAGAAUGAAUCUCCAUAUGGAUGGCUGGGAUCUCCUACCAGGUGAUGCUGCAAAGUCUCCAGCAGAAAUGGAUGGAUAUGGCUGAGCUCACCUGCUGAGUGUGCAGCACGCUCAUUGCUGCCUGCCAGGUAACAGUGCUGCUAAGUCCCCGUGUCACAGAUUCCUGACAUGCACUCAACUUCCCGAACCAGGCGGCAGCAAAACGCAGCUCCACGCACAGUGGCUGCGCACCUUUAGUGGUGCUUGUGAUGUUACUCAUUAGCUCAAGCUGUGCGCCAGAGCGAGCACGUGCAAACCCAUCC